UCCCUGAUAGCUCAGUUGGUAUAGAAUCUGCCUGCAAUGCAGGAAACCCUGGUUCGAUUCCUGGGUCGGGAA
rnacentral:tRNA from 1 species